AGGAAACAUCUCUAUCACAGGUCACUUUAAUGUCGAAGAAGAAGAAACAGGAAGUAGGGUACAGGUGUUGGUUAAUUAACCCAGUUAAGUUAACGUUGUUUGUCCUAACACUGAAUUAGGCCUACAUGCAACUCUACGAAGACGGAAUAAAUAAAUAAAUAAAACCAGACAUGAAGACAUAAUGGGUUAUUUCCAGUGACAGGAUGUUGAGGAGAACAGUCAGCGAUGCAGUGAGUUUCCACCAGGACCAAGACCUCAACACAACCAUGUUCCUCCUGAAAUCCUGCUCAGAGAAGAGGGAGAGGUCAGAGACUUCAAGCAUGGACUCACGUAGAGACAGAUCUUAGAAGUGCUCUGCGGUGUUCACCAAACCCACAGAUGAGAGAUCCAAGCCCAGGAUAUGAGACAGAUGUGUGGGAGAAAACCCAUCCAGCGUCUGACUGCAGGUCAGGUACAGAUGAGCUAAAGUUUAUGAUGUUUAUCACUUGAGACAUGAGACAUCAACUCAUCCUCCUCCUUCUGCAGCUUAAUUAUUCUCCUGGUUGAUUUCAGCGUGAUGAGGCAUUGUGUCAUCUUUCUGUACUUUCUCAUUACCUUUGUAGGAAUUAGGCAUCUGCAGUGGAAACGGAUGACCUCCAUUGUUUCAUUCGUUUUUUAAAUCUGGAAUAUUGUUUAGUCAUGUUUUUUUUUUGUUUGUUUGUUUCUUUUUACAAAUGUGCUGCAGGACGUAAAGCAGAUCAGAUCAGAUCUGGCAUUGUAUGUAAACUCUUGUUACUGCAGAGACUUAAUGAGCUCUAUGAUGAAGACGGGAUGUUUUACUCCAAAGAAUCUGUCAUACUUGAAAAAUGUGCAGAUGUUUUGUGUUUUUCUUGGAUGUUUCUGGGCAGAUAAACUGCUGAUGUCUCGUCUGUGAUGUUAAAACAAGUUUAAAUGUUCAGCUACCGUCAAUUAUAUCAUGAAUGUUUAAUGUUUUUAGUGUUUUUUCAUGUGUGCUUAUGCUGAGUGUUUCAGGCCGUUCAGAUAUUUAUUCACAAGUUUAAUAAAAGUCAGAAAAAGCUG